AUGUCGGCACCAACAUCGAUUCCCCGUGGUUCCAAGAGUGCGCGAGGCAGCAGGAAUGGUGUCGACAGGCUCAGCAGCCUAUCUGAUGAUCUGCUCCACCAUGUGAUGUCCUUCCUGCCGAUGCCGGAGGUCGUGCGCACAAGUCUUCUCUCACCAAGAUGGCGCAAUCUUUGGUGCUCUACACCAUUCAUCCGCAUCGACAGCCAAGAUUUCGUGGAUAAACGGAAGCUGGAGAAUUUCGGGGACUGCUUGCUGCUCUUGCAUGACUGUACCACUUCCUUGGAUGAAGCCCGAAUCUCUGCCCAAUGGGUUAAUGAUACCAAAUGUUCCGUGUGGAUUCGUCAUGCCAUUAUGCACAAAGUUCGUCUGCUUCAUAUUUCUGGAUCUCUCAGUUUGGAUAGGACAGUAAUCUUUCCUUCUCGGCACCUCGAAACAAUCAGGCUCCAAUCUGUCAUGUUGAAACAUGGGUUAUUUAGGCCGCUGAACUACGACUGCCCUGUGCUUGAACAUCUAGAGCUGGAGUGGUGUGGUUUCUGUGACUGUGAGGAGAUCUCAUCGAGGUCACUCAAGGUUCUGCAUAUCAGUGACUGCCAGCUUACCUCCAGUCUCCUGAUUUGUGCUAGGAACCUUACCCAUCUCUCUAUCCUUGACACAGAAAUUGGUGGUAUAGUAACCAGGGAUCUGUCUUGUCUGGUAACAGCUUCGAUUAGUCUAAUACCCAAAUAUUUUCAUCAUAAGUACACAGUAUUGGAUCGUCAUCUACAUCUACUUGAUGGCCUUUCACAUGCCACAACGUUGGAGCUGCAUGCGCCAUUGCAUGAGCGCACAUUUGAGGGAGCUUUGCAAACAUGCCCAAUGUUCAGCAACCUGACAAGCUUGGUGCUGGGCGAUUGGUGCAUGACUGCUGACUUGUACCCACUGCACCGGAUUCUCCAAUGCUCGGACAAGCUGAAGGAGCUCACUUUGAAGCUCGAAAUGGACGAAUGCACCACAUGCAAACUCUUGCUACCAAUAAGGAGAGCGUCGCCAUCGGGCUCAGGCAGCUACCCUUGCAUCGAGAGGAUCAAAAUCUACUGCCAGAAAGAUCAUCCAAGGGUCGAUGAGUUGGUGCAGGCGUUGGCACAGACUGCCUGCAAUGCGAAGAUCAGCGUCGAGCAGCCCAGAUCCAUGCUAACCAAGAGCUCAUUCGCAAAGUUGAUUUGUUAUUGA
rnacentral:rRNA from 1 species